AAACAUCGAUAACCAAGUCUGGGGUCAACUGCAUGGAGCCUUAAUGUUUUGUCAUGUAUUAAAUCCAAAGAUUAAUCAUUUGUAGUUAAACAUGUUGAUUUUCUUAUUCUCCAUCUAACUAUUUGACUCUCGUCCAUUUGAUUUACGGUAUUUUGUUGUUGCUUUUACGGGUCAUCUCUACUGAUCCCUAAAUCACCUAAGAUGAGACUUCACUAGCAUUUUUACAAUCAGAGCUGCCAAAACUUUAUCUCUAAUGAUUGUAUUUUGAAUCCUAUCUUGUUUUGUGUAUCCACUCUCCGUCAUCCGUAAUGAUAUUCUCAUCUUGCAACAUUGACUUUGCUUUCUUGUUGGUCCUUUAUCGCCCAUUAAAUUUGCUUACAAGAUUAUAGGUCUCCUAGUCGUAUAGUAAAAUUUCACUUUGAACUUCAGGGUUACUUUACUAUCUAAAAUCACACCUAAAGUAUCCAUCCAUUUCAUCUACUUUGCCUAGAUUCUAUGGUUGAGAUAUAACUUAUACUAUAUCCUUUUAGUAUUGUAUAAUAGACCAAGGUACUUCAAACAUGAGACUACUGUAUUGUAUUUUCUAACUUUUCACCUUUAAGCUAGUUUCUAAACUUGCAUUCCAUAUAGAUUGUUUUAUUUCUACCUAUAUUAUGUUUGAUUACACUGAUAGAGUAUGCAAAUCAAACUCUUUCUAUAAAUUUUGGGAAAUUAAAGCAAAGGAGUUUUUCAUAAUGACGUUUUCAGUUGAUGAUCCAGGAAACAAUUAAAUUGAUAAUUUUCAAAAAAAAUUCUUCUUUUCACCAAGG
rnacentral:lncRNA from 1 species